rnacentral:tRNA from 2 species
CAAGACGUAGCUUAACAAAAGCAUCCAGCUUACACCUGAAAGAUAUCUACUAACAACAGAUCGUCUUGA